GAUGAACGCUGGCGGCGUGCCUAAUACAUGCAAGUCGAGCGAACGGACGAGAAGCUUGCUUCUCUGAUGUUAGCGGCGGACGGGUCAGUAACACGUGGAUAACCUACCUAUAAGACUGGGAUAACUUCGGGAAACCGUAGCUAAUACCGGAUAAUAUUUUGAACCGCAUGGUUCAAAAGUGAAAGACGGUCUUGCUGUCACUUAUAGAUUGAUCCGCGCUGCAUUAGCUAGUUGGUAAGGUAACGGCUUACCAAGGCAACGAUGCAUAGCCGACCUGAGAGGGUGAUCGGCCACACUGGAACUGAGACACGGUCCAGACUCCUACGGGAGGCAGCAGUAGGGAAGCUUCCGCAAUGGGCGAAAGCCUGACGGAGCAACGCCGCGUGAGUGAUGAAGGUCUUCGGAUCGUAAAACUCUGUUAUUAGGGAAGAACAUAUGUGUAAGUAACUGUGCACAUCUUGACGGUACCUUAUCAGAAAGCCACGGCUAACUACGUG
rnacentral:rRNA from 1 species